UACGUAGGCAGCGAGCGUUGUUCGGAGUUACUGGGCGUAAAGGGUGUGUAGGCGGUUGUUUAAGUUUGGUGUGAAAUCUCCCGGCUCAACUGGGAGGGUGCGCCGAAUACUGAAUGACUUCGAGUGCGGGAGAGGAAAGUGGAAUUCCUGGUGUAGCGGUGAAAUGCGUAGAUAUCAGGAGGAACACCGGUGGUGUAGACGGCUUUCUGGACCGUAACUGACGCUGAGGAGCGAAAGCGUGGGGAGCGAACAGG
rnacentral:rRNA from 1 species